UACGUAGGUGGCGAGCGUUGUCCGGAAUUACUGGGUGUAAAGGGCGCGUAGGCGGGUGCCUAAGUCAGACGUGAAAUGCCGAGGCUCAACCUCGGAACUGCGUUUGAAACUGGGCAUCUUGAGUGCCGGAGAGGGAAGCGGAAUUCCUAGUGUAGCGGUGAAAUGCGUAGAUAUUAGGAGGAACACCAGUGGCGAAGGCGGCUUUCUGGACGGUAACUGACGCUGAGGCGCGAAAGCGUGGGGAGCAAACAGG
rnacentral:rRNA from 1 species